AGUGAACGCUGGCGGCGUGCCUAAUACAUGCAAGUCGAACGGACGCACGAUAAGCUUUUGUCUCUGCGGUUGGCGGCGGACGGGUGAGUGACACGUGCAUAAGCUUCCUAUAUGACUGGGAUAACUACGUAAAGCCGUAUCUACUACCGGCUCAUAUUUUCAACGGCUUGGUUCAAAAGUGCAACACACUCUUGCUGUCUCUAUGAGAUGAAUCCGCGCUGCAUUAGCUAGUUGGUAAGGUAACGGCUUACCAAGGCAACGAUGCGUAGCCGAUCUGAGAGGAUGAUCAGCCACACUGGAACUGAGACACGGUCCAGACUCCUACGGGAGGCAGCAGUGGGGAAUCUUGCGCAAUGGGCGCAAGCCUGAUGGAGCAAUGCCGCGUGAGUGAUGAAGGUCUUCGGAUCGUAAAGCUCUGUUGUUAGGGAAGAAAAGAUGUAUGAGUAACCCCCCCUAUCUUGACGGUACCCAAAGAGAAAGCAACGGCUAACUUCGUG
rnacentral:rRNA from 1 species